UGCGCAGGCGGACCUAUUAGUCAGUGGUGAAAUCCCGGGGCUCAACUCCGGAACUGCCAUUGAUACUGUAGGCCUUGAGUUUGGUUGAAGUGGGCGGAAUGUAGCAUGUAGCGGUGAAAUGCAUAGAUAUGCUACAGAACACCGAUCGCGAAGGCAGCUCACUAAACCAAAACUGACGCUCAGGCACGAAAGCGUGGGUAGCGAACAGGAUUAGAUACCCUGGUAGUCC
rnacentral:rRNA from 1 species